UUUUAGAAUUUAAUUUAAAGUCUAACCUGCCCACUGAUUAAUUUUAAAUGGCCGCAGUAUUUUAACUGUGCAAAGGUAGCAUAAUCAUUAGUCUUUUAAUUGAAGGCUGGAAUGAAUGGUUGGAUGAAAUAUUAACUGUUUCAUAAAAAUUUAUAAUAGAAUUUUAUUUUUUAGUUAAAAAGCUAAAAUUUAAUUAAAAGACGAGAAGACCCUAUAAAUCUUUAUAUUUUAAUAAUUUUAAUUAUAUUGAAAAAUUAAAUUAUAAUUAUUUUAAAUAUUUUAUUGGGGUGAUAUUAAAAUUUAAUAAACUUUUAAUUUAUAUUAUACAUAAAUUAAUGAAUUAUUGAUCCAUUUAUUAUGAUUAAAAAAUUAAGUUACUUUAGGGAUAACAGCGUAAUUUUUUUAGAGAGUUCAUAUUGAUAAAAAAGAUUGCGACCUCGAUGUUGGAUUAAGAUAUAAUUUUAGGUGCAGUAGCUUAAAUUUAAAGUCUGUUCGACUUUUAAAUUCUUACA
rnacentral:rRNA from 1 species